GGAUGCCCAAAAACUAAGCGAAAUUAUAAACUACAAAACCAAGAACGUGUACCUUCCAGGAGCAACGAAGAGAGAAAUUAAUAAUUUGUCUGAGAGCUGCUAAAUUCGAAAUCACAGGUUGAUCCAUCCCAGUAUAAGGUUCUACUGGGUGCUGUGAGUGAUCAUCAUCACUGGACAUUAGUGCAGGACAGCACUUCCUGUGGAAUCUUUGUUUUUAAGAUGUACUGAAACAAUGGUUUUUAAAUGCUAUGACACA